CUCAUAUCUGUUUUUCCAAAACAGAGUGCAGUCUCUGCUUUUGUUGCUCCAAGUGUCAACCACAUGCUUUUCCCUUGGACAAAAACAGGAGAGAGAGUUGUGGAUAAAGGACUCGGAUGCCACAUGUGCACCUAGAGACAUCUGAUGACAGCACAGGACGUGGAAGGAUCAUGUGCAGAGCAGAUGACACUCAGAGUAGAUGCAGAAGGCGAACAGGUGCAAGAUCUUAGCCCAUCAAAAUCUGGGAAGCAGAAUAAAUAAGCUCAAAGCCUUGCUAAAGACUCCUUUAUAGCAAUGCCUUCUGACAGGUUUGAGUGAAACUGAAUGCAAUCCAGAGAGCUGAGACCCUUGUUUUAUUGGGUAAUUGCCUGUAAGACUUGGGAUGGUACAGACUCAGGACGUUGUCCCAGCCUUGACCACAGAAAUCCCCAAGAAGCAGACCAGCAACAGGAAGAAAAGGAUGAAGAAGCACAAGUUUAUUGAAAACUCAAGAAGGCUCAGAUCUGC
rnacentral:lncRNA from 1 species